UCGAGAAUUUUUCACAAUGGGCGCAAGCCUGAUGGAGCGACGCCGCGUGGGGGAUGAAGGGCUUCGGCUCGUAAACCCCUGUCAGUUGCGAACAAGGUCCAUUCAAUAACACUGGGUGGAUUGAUAGUAGUGACAGAGGAAGGGACGGCUAACUCUGUGCCAGCAGCCGCGGUAAUACAGAGGUCCCGAGCGUUGUUCGGAUUCACUGGGCGUAAAGGGUGCGUAGGCGGCUUUGCAAGUCUGAUGUGAAAUCUCCGGGCCCAACCCGGAAAUGGCAUUAGAAACUGCGGGGCUGGAGGCUUGGAGGGGGAACUGGAAUGCUCGGUGUAGCAGUGAAAUGCGUAGAGAUCGAGCGGAACACCAGUGGCGAAGGCGAGUUCCUGGACAAGACCUGACGCUGAGGCACGAAAGCCGGGGGAGCAAACAGG
rnacentral:rRNA from 1 species